UGCAGUCGAACGAUGAUCUCCCGCUUGCGGGGGUGAUUAGUGGCGAACGGGUGAGUAAUACGUGAGUAACCUGCCCUUGACUCUGGGAUAAGCCUGGGAAACCGGGUCUAAUACUGGAUACUACUCCUCAUCGCAUGGUGGGGGGUGGAAAGGGUUUUACUGGUUUUGGAUGGGCUCACGGCCUAUCAGCUUGUUGGUGGGGUAAUGGCUCACCAAGGCGACGACGGGGAGCCGGCCUGAGAGGGUGACCGGCCACACUGGGACUGAGACACGGCCCAGACUCCUACGGGAGGCAGCAGUGGGGAAUAUUGCACAAUGGGCGGAAGCCUGAUGCAGCGACGCCGCGUGAGGGAUGACGGCCUUCGGGUUGUAAACCUCUUUCAGCAGGGAAGAAGCCACAAGUGACGGUACCUGCAGAAGAAGCGCCGGCUAACUACGUGCCAGCAGCCGCGGUAAUACGUAGGGCGCAAGCGUUGUCCGGAAUUAUUGGGCGUAAAGAGCUCGUAGGCGGUUUGUCGCGUCUGCUGUGAAAGCCCGGGGCUCAACCCCGGGUCUGCAGUGGGUACGGGCAGACUAGAGUGCAGUAGGGGAGACUGGAAUUCCUGGUGUAGCGGUGAAAUGCGCAGAUAUCAGGAGGAAGACCGAUGGCGAAGGCAGGUCUCUGGGCUGUUACUGACGCUGAGGAGCGAAAGCAUGGGGAGCGAACAGGAUUAGAUACCCUGGUAGUCCAUGCCGUAAACGUUGGGCACUAGGUGUGGGGGACAUUCCACGUUCUCCGCGCCGUAGCUAACGCAUUAAGUGCCCCGCCUGGGGAGUACGGCCGCAAGGCUAAAACUCAAAGGAAUUGACGGGGGCCCGCACAAGCGGCGGAGCAUGCGGAUUAAUUCGAUGCAACGCGAAGAACCUUACCAAGGCUUGACAUUCACCGGACCGCACUGGAGACAGUGCUUCCCUUCGGGGUCGGUGGACAGGUGGUGCAUGGUUGUCGUCAGCUCGUGUCGUGAGAUGUUGGGUUAAGUCCCGCAACGAGCGCAACCCUCGUUCUAUGUUGCCAGCACGUGAUGGUGGGGACUCAUAGGAGACUGCCGGGGUCAACUCGGAGGAAGGUGGGGAUGACGUCAAAUCAUCAUGCCCCUUAUGUCUUGGGCUUCACGCAUGCUACAAUGGCCGGUACAAAGGGUUGCGAUACUGUGAGGUGGAGCUAAUCCCAAAAA
rnacentral:rRNA from 1 species